GUUGGGUAGGGGAGCGUUCUGUAAGCCUGUGAAGGUGUGUCGUGAGGCAUGCUGGAGGUAUCAGAAGUGCGAAUGCUGACAUAAGUAACGAUAAAGCGGGUGAAAAGCCCGCUCGCCGGAAGACCAAGGGUUCCUGUCCAACGUUAAUCGGGGCAGGGUGAGUCGACCCCUAAGGCGAGGCCGAAAGGCGUAGUCGAUGGGAAACGGGUUAAUAUUCCCGUACUUGGUGUUACUGCGAAGGGGGGACGGAGAAGGCUAUGUUGGCCGGGCGACGGUUGUCCCGGUUUAAGCGUGUAGGUGUGUGUUCCAGGUAAAUCCGGUUCACUUUAACACUGAGGCGUGACGACGAGGCACUACGGUGCUGAAGCAACAAAUGCCCUGCUUCCAGGAAAAGCCUCUAAGCAUCAGGUAACAUCAAAUCGUACCCCAAACCGACACAGGUGGUCAGGUAGAGAAUACCAAGGCGCUUGAGAGAACUCGGGUGAAGGAACUAGGCAAAAUGGUGCCGUAACUUCGGGAGAAGGCACGCUGACACGUAGGUGAAGUGAUUUACUCAUGGAGCUGAAGUCAGUCGAAGAUACCAGCUGGCUGCAACUGUUUAUUAAAAACACAGCACUGUGCAAACACGAAAGUGGACGUAUACGGUGUGACGCCUGCCCGGUGCCGGAAGGUUAAUUGAUGGGGUCAGCGCAAGCGAAGCUCCUGAUCGAAGCCCCGGUAAACGGCGGCCGUAACUAUAACGGUCCUAAGGUAGCGAAAUUCCUUGUCGGGUAAGUUCCGACCUGCACGAAUGGCGUAAUGAUGGCCAGGCUGUCUCCACCCGAGACUCAGUGAAAUUGAACUCGCUGUGAAGAUGCAGUGUACCCGCGGCAAGACGGAAAGACCCCGUGAACCUUUACUAUAGCUUGACACUGAACAUUGAGCCUUGAUGUGUAGGAUAGGUGGGAGGCUUUGAAGUGUGGACGCCAGUCUGCAUGGAGCCGACCUUGAAAUACCACCCUUUAAUGUUUGAUGUUCUAACGUGGACCCGUUACCCGGGUUGCGGACAGUGUCUGGUGGGUAGUUUGACUGGGGCGGUCUCCUCC
rnacentral:rRNA from 1 species